CACAGCAGCCCGGGAAGUAACGGUCGCUCUGUCUCGUCUGGGAAGAUCUCCGUUGCCAGGGCUUGCUGGACCCGCCCCCGCACAGCUUCCCAGCAGUCCCGAUUCCGCCUGAGGCUCCAGAAGGCGAAGCUGUACAGGAGGCCACUUUUCUUCUCAGCCUAGAACUCGAGAGACCUGAAAGGAAGGACGACUGGCCACAGGAGAUGUUUCACAGAGCCGCUGAAUGAACAACACAGUCAAUUCUGAUCAACUUUCCAGUGCUAUCUGGGGCUUCUUUCCUCAUCAGGGAAGUAAACAUUUUACCAGAAACUCCCUGGCAGCCUUUUCCUGAACUGUCCUAAGGGCUAUGGCUGAAGUGUAAGUGAGUGGCCCUGGAGGUGGGUGCCUCUCCCCGGCGCAGUUUUUCCUUCCAUCACAAGCAUGGCUGAAGCUGGGUGGUGGUGCAUACAGAUUCCAGCCAGCAAGGAGGGGAAAGAGAGUUCAGAGGACUCACCUCCACUGUCCCCGACCCAGGCCUGUAGCAUCUAUAUUGGCUCCUCUCAGGUUCCACAGAAUUCCUCAAGAUGACUGAGGUUGGUCCCUGAAGAAACCAAAUUCAGUGUAAGAAAACCAACAUCACAAAGAGUCCCAACCAAGGUCCAGAGCAGCUUCCUAUUCUGAGUCUGUUGCCCUUGAAGAGAUGAACGGCCAGCAUCCAAAAGCAGUGAUAAAUUGCACCCAGAGGGCACUUCAAGAAAUGUGACUUGAUGAGGGUCUAAAGAUGAAGGCUGACAUUUAGAGCUUGUGAAUACAACUUCCACCUCCAUCUGUAAGCAGAAAAUAGUUCAUUAAAUAAAAGUCUGUCGGUAGUACAGCUUGAAAAUAAAGUCUGGUGUUUUAUUUGGCCCUGAA
rnacentral:lncRNA from 10 species